GUGCUCGCUUUAGCAGCACAUAAUACUAAAAUUGGAAUGAUACAGAGAUGAUUAGCAUG
ensembl:snRNA U6 U6 spliceosomal RNA